rnacentral:rRNA from 1 species
GCUUGUCUCAAAGAUUAAGCCAUGCAUGUCUAAGUAUAAAAAAAAUCUAUAAUGUGAAACUGUGAAUGGCUCAUUAUAUCAGUUAUAGUUUCUUUGAUGGUUCUUACUACUUGGAUAACCGUAGUAAUUCUAGAGCUAAUACAUGCAUGAACCCCCCCCCCUCCGACUUUUGAAGGGGUUUUUACUUUCGGAUCGACUUCGGUCGAUGCAUCCUUCAAGUUUCUGCCCUAUCAACUUUGGAUUUUAGGGUAUUGGCCUAUCAUGGCUUUAACGGGUAACGGAGAAUUAGGGUUCGAUUCCAGAGAGGAAGCCUGAGAAAUGGCUACCACAUCCAAGGAAGGCAGCAGG